UACGAAGGGGGCGAGCGUUGUUCGGAUUUACUGGGCGUAAAGGGCGCGCAGGCGGUCUUGCAAGUCAGGCGUGAAAGCCCCGGGCUUAACCUGGGAAUUGCGCUUGAUACUCUGAGACUGGAGUACGGGAGAGGAGAGUGGAAUUCCCAGUGUAGAGGUGAAAUUCGUAGAUAUUGGGAAGAACACCGGUGGCGAAGGCGGCGCUCUGGACCGAGACUGACGCUGAGGCGCGAAAGCGUGGGGAGCAAACAGG
rnacentral:rRNA from 1 species